rnacentral:rRNA from 1 species
UAACGCGUGGGUAACCUGCCUCACACAGGGGGAUAGCAGUUGGAAACGGCUGAUAAUACCGCAUAAGCGCAUAGUACCGCAUGGUACAGUGUGAAAAACUCCGGUGGUGUGAGAUGGACCCGCGUCUGAUUAGCUUGUUGGCAGGGUAACGGCCUACCAAGGCAACGAUCAGUAGCCGACCUGAGAGGGUGACCGGCCACAUUGGGACUGAGACACGGCCCAG